GACGAACGCUGGCGGCGUGCUUAACACAUGCAAGUCGAACGGAAAGGCCCUGCUUUUGUGGGGUGCUCGAGUGGCGAACGGGUGAGUAACACGUGAGUAACCUGCCCUUGACUUUGGGAUAACUUCAGGAAACUGGGGCUAAUACCGGAUAGGAGCUCCUGCUGCAUGGUGGGGGUUGGAAAGUUUCGGCGGUUGGGGAUGGACUCGCGGCUUAUCAGCUUGUUGGUGGGGUAGUGGCUUACCAAGGCUUUGACGGGUAGCCGGCCUGAGAGGGUGACCGGCCACAUUGGGACUGGGAUACGGCCCAGAGUCCUACGGGGGGCAGCAGUGGGGAAUAUUGCACAAUGGGCGGAAGCCUGAUGCAGCAACGCCGCGUGCGGGAUGACGGCCUUCGGGUUGUAAACCGCUUUCGCCUGUGACGAAGCGUGAGUGACGGUAAUGGGUAAAGAAGCACCGGCUAACUACGUG
rnacentral:rRNA from 1 species